rnacentral:rRNA from 1 species
GACGAACGCUGGCGGCGUGCUUAACACAUGCAAGUCGAACGGAAAGGCCCUGCUUUUGUGGGGUGCUCGAGUGGCGAGCUGGUGAGUAACCCGUGAGUAACCUGCCCUUGACUUUGGGAUAACUUCAGUAAACUGGGGCUAAUACCGGAUAGGAGCUCCUGCUGCAUGGUGGGGGUUGGAAAGUUUCGGCGGUUGGGGAUGGACUCGCGGCUUAUCAGCUUGUUGGUGGGGUAGUGGCUUACCAAGGCGUUGACGGGUAGCCGGCCUGAGAGGGUGACCGGCCACAUUGGGACUGAGAUACGGCCCAGACUCCUACGGGAGGCAGCAGUGGGGAAUAUUGCACAAUGGGCGGAAGCCUGAUGCAGCAACGCCGCGUGCGGGAUGACGGCCUUCGGGUUGUAAACCGCUUUCGCCUGUGACGAAGCGUGAGUGACGGUAAUGGGUAAAGAAGCACCGGCUAACUACGUG